AGCCAUGCAUGUCUAGUAUAAGCAAUUAUACCGUGAAACUGCGAAUGGCUCAUUAAAUCAGUUAUCGUUUAUUUGAUAGUACCUUACUACUUGGAUAACCGUGGUAAUUCUAGAGCUAAUACAUGCUGAAAACCCCAACUUCGGGAGGGGUGUAUUUAUUAGAUAAAAAACCAACGCCCUUCGGGGCUUCUUGGUGAUUCAUGAUAACUUUACGGAUCGCAUGGCCUUGCGCCGGCGACGGUUCAUUCAAAUUUCUGCCCUAUCAACUUUCGAUGGUAAGGUAUUGGCUUACCAUGGUUUCAACGGGUAACGGGGAAUUAGGGUUCGAUUCCGGAGAGGGAGCCUGAGAAACGGCUACCACAUCCAAGGAAGGCAGCAGGCGCGCAAAUUACCCAAUCCCGACACGGGGAGGUAGUGACAAUAAAUACUGAUACAGGGCUCUUUUGGGUCUUGUAAUUGGAAUGAGUACAAUUUAAACCUCUUAACGAGGAACAAUUGGAGGGCAAGUCUGGUGCCAGCAGCCGCGGUAAUUCCAGCUCCAAUAGCGUAUAUUAAAGUUGUUGCAGUUAAAAAGCUCGUAGUUGAAACUUGGGUCUGGCUGGCAGGUCCGCCUCACCGCGUGUACUUGUCCGGCCGGGCCUUCCUUCUGGAGAACCUCAUGCCCUUCACUGGGCGUGUUGGGGACCAGGACUUUUACUUUGAAAAAAUUAGAGUGUUCAAAGCAGGCCUUUGCUCGAAUACGUUAGCAUGGAAUAAUAGAAUAGGACGUGCGGUCCUAUUUUGUUGGUUUCUAGGACCGCCGUAAUGAUUAAUAGGGACAGUCGGGGGCAUCAGUAUUCAAUUGUCAGAGGUGAAAUUCUUGGAUUUAUUGAAGACUAACUACUGCGAAAGCAUUUGCCAAGGAUGUUUUCAUUAAUCAGUGAACGAAAGUUAGGGGAUCGAAGACGAUCAGAUACCGUCGUAGUCUUAACCGUAAACUAUGCCGACUAGGGAUCGGGCGAUGUUCUUUUUCUGACUCGCUCGGCACCUUACGAGAAAUCAAAGUUUUUGGGUUCUGGGGGGAGUAUGGUCGCAAGCUGAAACUUAAAG
rnacentral:rRNA from 1 species